AUUGAACGCUGGCGGCAUGCCUUACACAUGCAAGUCGAACGGUAACAGGUUAAGCUGACGAGUGGCGAACGGGUGAGUAAUAUAUCGGAACGUGCCCAGUCGUGGGGGAUAACUGCUCGAAAGAGCAGCUAAUACCGCAUACGACCUGAGGGUGAAAGCGGGGGAUCGCAAGACCUCGCGCGAUUGGAGCGGCCGAUAUCAGAUUAGGUAGUUGGUGGGGUAAAGGCCCACCAAGCCAACGAUCUGUAGCUGGUCUGAGAGGACGACCAGCCACACUGGGACUGAGACACGGCCCAGACUCCUACGGGAGGCAGCAGUGGGGAAUUUUGGACAAUGGGCGCAAGCCUGAUCCAGCCAUGCCGCGUGCGGGAAGAAGGCCUUCGGGUUGUAAACCGCUUUUGCCAGGGAAGAAAAGGUUCUGGUUAAUACCUGGGACUCAUGACGGUACCUGUAGAAUAAGCACCGGCUAACUACGUGCCAGCAGCCGCCGUAA
rnacentral:rRNA from 1 species